rnacentral:rRNA from 1 species
AGUGAACGCUGGCGGUAGGCCUAACACAUGCAAGUCGAACGGCAGCACAGUAAGAGCUUGCUCUUACGGGUGGCGAGUGGCGGACGGGUGAGGAAUACAUCGGAAUCUACUUUUUCGUGGGGGAUAACGUAGGGAAACUUACGCUAAUACCGCAUACGACCUACGGUUGAAAGCAGGGGAUCUUCGGACCUUGCGCGAUUGAAUGAGCCGAUGUGGGAUUGGCUAGUUGGCGGGGUAAAGGCCCACCAAGGCGACGAUCCGUAGCUGGUCUGAGAGGAUGGUCGGCCGCCCUGGAACUGGGACACGGUCCAGGCUCCUACGGGAGGCCGCAGUGGGGAAUGUUGGGCAAUAGGCGCGAACCUGAUCCAGCCAUACCGCGUGGGUUGAAGAGGCCCUCGGGUUGUAAAGCCCUUUUGUUGGGAGAGAAAAGCAGCAGGUUAAUACCCCGCUGUUCUGACGGUACCCAAAGAAUAAGCACCGGCUAACUUCGUG